rnacentral:rRNA from 1 species
UAGGGAAUCUUCGGCAAUGGGGGCAACCCUGACCGAGCAACGCCGCGUGAGUGAAGAAGGUUUUCGGAUCGUAAAGCUCUGUUGUAAGUCAAGAACGGGUGUGAGAGUGGAAAGUUCACACUGUGACGGUAGCUUACCAGAAAGGGACGGCUAACUACGUGCCAGCAGCCGCGGUAAUACGUAGGUCCCGAGCGUUGUCCGGAUUUAUUGGGCGUAAAGCGAGCGCAGGCGGUUUGAUGAGUCUGAAGUUAAAGGCUGUGGCUCAACCAUAGUUCGCUUUGGAAACUGUCAAACUUGAAUGCAAAAGGGGAGAGUGGAAUUCCAUGUGUAGCGGUGAAAUGCGUAGUUAUAUGGAGGAACGGCAGUGGCGAAAGCGGCUCUCUGGUCUGUAACUGACGCUGAGGCUCGAAAGCGUGGGGAGCGAACAGG